UACAGAGGUCCCAAGCGUUGUUCGGAUUCACUGGGCGUAAAGGGUGCGUAGGUGGCUUUGUAAGUUUGAUGUGAAAUCUCCGGGCUUAACCCGGAAAGGUCAACCGAUACUGCGGGGCUAGAGUGCAGAAGGGGCAACUGGAAUUCUCGGUGUAGCGGUGAAAUGCGUAGAUAUCGAGAGGAACACCUGCGGCGAAGGCGGGUUGCUGGGCUGACACUGACGCUGAAGUGCGAAAGCUAGGGGAGCGAACGGG
rnacentral:rRNA from 1 species